CUUUUUUUUUUUUUUUUUUUUUUUUUGCCUUGAGCUUUUUCUAUGUUGUACAGAAUUUAUAAUUUGGAACUCGCCCACUGUACUUAACCAAGGUGUCUACAACCUAAUGAAUAAGAACCCAGAGUGAGUUUGGGUGGAGCUCAAAUAUCACAUUUCAGUAUACAGUCUGCUAAAGUGGAAACUUACCAAAUUGCCACUUUAUUCUCCUGUGUGCUGGAAACACACAACUUUGAACUGGAAGACCCACAGUAGACCUGAUUCAAUCAAUUGACUGUUCAUUAUCCAGAGGGUCAGAAUGCAUAGAGGAAGAGGUAAAGAUGUUCCUUUGUGAGCUUCUUGUAUUAGAAAUGAGAAUCACUAAAUAUAUCUGAGCAUAAUUAGAGAUCUUGAGUACACCUAUCUGUCCUUUACCUUUUUUUUUUUUUUUUCUUUUUACAGCCACACCUGUGGCACAUGGAAGUUCCCAGGCCAGUGGUCACAUUGGAGCUGCAGCUGCCGGCCUAUGCGAUAGUCACGGCAACACCAAAUCUGAGCCACAUCCCCAACCCAUGCUGUACUUUGUGGCUACACCAGAUCCUUAACCCACUGAGUGAGGCCAGGGAUUGAACUCGCAUCUUCACAGAUACUGUGUCAGGUUCUUAAUGCACUGAGCCACAACGCCAACUCCCAGGUUUUAUUAAAGAUGAAGAAUUUUACUAGACAAGACAGAUGAGAUUUACAAAAAGAAAGAAAUCUAAGGGUAUAGAAGAAUGUCAAAACCAGUGUAAAGAGGUUGGUGAAAAACAGCAGAGAAGAGGAGGAAAAGAUCACUAUUUGAGCUGCAUUUUUUGUUUUUAUGGCUGCAUUCACAGCACGCGGAAGUUCCUGGGCCAGGGAUUGAACCCGAGCAAUAUUUGAGACCUACACCACAGCUGCGGCAACACCGAAUCCUUUAACUCACUGUGCACCAGGCCAGGGAUCAAACCCGUGUCUCCACGGUGACCUGAGAGGCUGCAAUCGAAUUCUUAACCUUCUGUACCAUAGUGGGAACUGCUAUUUGAGCUGUAUUUUAACCCACUGAACAGAACACUAAAUACGGAUGUCCUGAAGAAAUAACAGCAAUGUGAAUCCAAUAUAGGUUUAAGCACAGUUACAUAUAAAAACGGUUGGGUCCUUUUAACAGCCCCCAUGGAGUGAAGAUGGAUUUUCUCUGUUAGUGAGUCUUUAACGCAGAUAUGGAGGUAGAUACGAUGAUGAUGGCGGUUGUCUUAUUACCGUAUUCAAGAACUAGCCCCCCAAAUUUUCAAACCCUGUGGCUUUAGACGAUUUACAUGGGAACGAAUGUAGCCUAGUCCUUUAAAAUCGCUGCAAGUAAACAGGGUAGAACAAGGACACCCAUUUCGUUUUUCUUUUCUUCUACUUGAGAUCCAUUCUGGCAGUCUCAUUCCUCUCUAAUGCGAUCUCCCCUUUUUCAGUUUAUUCCAUUCAUAUCACCCUGCAUAUUCGUCUACGGCUCUGAUCACAUUCUGUAAUUGCUUUGUGUGUUUAGUUAUUUGCUGCCUGUCUCCAUCAUGGGAGUGUGAGUUCCAUGAAGCUAAGAACCCCAUUAAUCAUGACAUCACUUCAUCCCCAGAACCUACUGCAUGUUUGUUGAGUUAGUACUUUCAAAGUUACAUAUUUGACAUUGUAGACAAGGUUAUUUCAUUGAUCAAUAUUAAACAGUGGUCUAUAGCCAAGAGGAGAGUGCUCUUUAGGAAAUUAGUAUGGAUAUUUUUGGUAGGUAAUAGAGUGAACUUUUUUAAAGCAUCAAAGUGAAAUAUGAAACCAAGAGAAGAGCACAAUCCCAAAUUACACUGAACAACCAUAUACCAUGUAGGACAAAGUUAUAUUAUAAAAAGGAAAAAAAUGUGGGAAAGAUUUCAGUAAUUAUCAGGAGAAAACUGAUGGUCAAGAACAAUACUUACAUAUAUGUUUAUGUUAGACAGGUGCCAAAAAUACAUACACAUACAAUGCUUAUGUCAUGUAUAGAUAGCCAUGUCUCAUUGCAGAGAAGCUAGAUGAUGAAAUAAACUUGGUUUUAAAAUUUAUAUCUUCUCAUAAGUAUACUUUAGACUUUUGUAGUGCUAUUUAUGGCUUCAAUAUAAGAACCAGAAAUACAUAGGUACUGGAAUUUAAACAUAAUUACAUUUAUCUGUACAAAAAUUCAAGAUGUGUGGGGUAGAGCAGGGAUGUGCGUUCACUGCCUUUAGGAAAGUUAACACUGAGAAAGAAAGGAGUAAUAUUUGGGGAAAAUUAAUAUGCUAUAGAUAUUCUGGACACACCAAGAAUAUGAAUAAUUAUAGAAGCAAAACAAAUCUGUGAUUUUAAAAAUAUCAACUAUCUGGACAUCUAAGGGUAAUCUGUUAAAAUCUCGGAAUUUGGGAGGAGCAAGGGGUCUUAUUGAUCUUGAAUUGUUUGUGCAGUUAAGGAAGAAAUGGUGAAUAAUAAGUAAUAGGAAGUUUGGAAGAAAAUUAAGAUAAAGUUUGGAUAAUUCUAAUAAUAAAGAAAUUGAGUAAUCACAAUCAGGUGGGUAUACAGAUGCCAGGCUUUAGGAAAUCAGAUCAAUUGUUAAUACGAGAAAAGCUAUGUUUUAUUUCAUGACAACAAAUUCUAAACUAUCUUGUAUUGAAGAUGGGAAAGUCUUCAAAUAAAGUUUUACAAAAUAUAGAUGAGGAAAAGAAGCAGCCAAUUAAUUAAAAAUUUUCCAAAAUAAGAAAACUGUUGUUAAAUUAAGAUUUAAAGCAUCAGAAAAUUGAUGGCACACGGUCAGAGAGCAGCACCAACGUUAGAGGCUGAAAUUCACUGAACUAGUGGCCACCAUGUAUUGAAGCUUUGAAGAAGAAACUAAAAAGACGAAAAACAAUUUUAUAAAUAAAUGAAUAAACAAAAUAAAAAGAGACGGGAUGAACUUUUCAUAAAGUUGGGGAUGAUAGAGGGAAAAAAAAUAUUAUUAUACGAGGCAUGGUUGCGUCCAUCUUCUCCAUCUAGUGGAAUUAUGUUCAAACUGAAAGGAGUGAAAGAGAUUUUAUGAAGAUUAUUGAGUGAUUAAAACAUGCGAUACCAAAUAAGACAGUGAGUUAGCGUACUCUCCAAAAUUAAUUUAAAGCACUUUUAAUCAGAGGAAUUAAGUUAUAGGGUACUGAGAAAAUACCUUCAUCAGCUGUGAAUGAACAUAAAGCAUUAUCAGGGAGUUCUGGGAAUCCACUGAGCAUAGGAGAUCUGCCAGAUAUCUAAACACUAACACAUGUUGUUCCAGAUUUUCAGACAUGGAAAGGGAGAUUUCAUAUGCUAUUGUUAAAUACACUUAAAUUACGCUUUGGCAAAAUUCUACAAAAGAUUUUUGUGCAGAUGGCUUGUGAACAUUUACAUAAAGACGCAUUUUCUAGGAAUGAGGAUGAAUUGACUUCGAAUGUCAUGGAAAAUCAAAAUAGUUUGCUUUUUGAGGGUAGGUUCCAGAUUGGCAGAUCAGAUGAACCCCAUACAUGUAAAGCCUUUCAAUACAUCGUUACUGAAAUCAUGGAGAAUGCAUUCACAUAGUAAUAGAGUUUGAGGAGACAUAAUAGGUGGCUUACAUGUACUGAAAUAAUGUUUAUCAAGACGUUGGUUUUUAGAGGGUGAUGCUAAAAGGAUAUUUGAAACAUUUGCUCAAUAACUUGAACAAAAUAAUGAAAGUCAGAUUCUUCAAAUUUCCCAUUGGCAUAUCUCGGGAAGAACGGUCAAAUCAAGAUGAAAACAUCCUGAGAGGACCAAAUUAUAGACCGAAAAGAAGAAGCUAAAAUUAAAGAGGAAUGAAUAUAAAACUCUGACUUCAUGCUAAAUAAUUGUACAAUUUCAAUCUGAAAGUUGGAGUUCUUAAUGAAAAAGAAUUGACGUAGAAAGCACUUUAGGAUUUUGAAAGACCUUAAAGUCACUGCACAACCUCCACUUGACACAUAAAAGCUGACCGACGGUCUAUAGCAUCAGCAUCAUGGUUGCUAGAGCUAUGGAGGAAUUGAGUCCAGUGCUUUCUUCAGUACUUUUGAGGUACAUUUUAAGUUGUAAAUGGAAAAUUCAAAUGAUGAAAGAAAUGAUCAGAAUGGGAAAUAGCAGUGAAGUUAUACUAUAAAGGUAAGGCUCAAAGGAAAUUGUAAAGGAAAGACUUGAAGGAAUAUAAAACACACCUUCUAAGGACUGCACUGGGAAUAAGGGAAGGAGGGAAGGAGGGCAGGAGAUAGGACGGAAUGAGUAGAAAGAUUUAUUUUAAAAAGAAGAAGUUGGGAGUUCCUGUCGUGGCUUGGUGGUUAACAAAUCUGACUAGGAACCAUGAGGUUGCGCAUUCAAUCCCUGGCCUCGCUCAGUGGGGAUCAAAUCCGCAUCCUUACAGAUAUUAGUCAGGUUCGUUACCACUGAGCCACAAUGGGAACUCCAGAACUAAUAUUUUAAAUGCCCAUGUUUUCCAAUGAGCUUUGCUAAGUGCUUUUAAAAUAGUUGAUUUAUUUAUUGUAGAAGAAUGGUAUGUUUCCUUUUUGAUACGAGAUGGAGCAGACCCAUUGUUUAGGUGGCAGAACAAAAUACAUUGCAUAUGAAUUAAACAGAAUUAUUCCUGAUACAAGAUGAAGUAGAACUUCAUAAAAAUUAAGCUAUCCAGCAACAACAGGGUGGCCUGCCUUAAAAUCAGAGUUAUCCACAUUUCCUGAACUGUUACAGCAAAUUUGAGGAUUAGGGGGUAUUUGUCAGGGAUGUUCUGAAAACCAUCUGCACAUCUGCAAAUUUCAUAAUGAAGUAACCACAAGAGCACCUCCAACACCAAACAUGAUGACUCUUUAUGUUCAUAACCAGGGAAGAGUCUAAAAACAAAUGUGAGAUUGUUUCCAGUGGCUAACUUCUGAUUGCAUUUGUUAGUGGGAAGAGAAGCCAUGAACAAUAAAAUCUAAGAAUAAACCAAAAACUUUACUAGUUUAUACUUCUCUUUUCUUUUUAGAUCUUAAAGUUUAGAGAAAAAAAUGUUUGGGGGGUUUAAAUGCUCUUCUCUGUAAUAAUGACAUAUUCACAUAGCACUUACUAUGUGCCAGGCAUUGUUCUGAAAAUAUUAAUCACAUUAAUUUUUUGAUCCUCCAAAAAACCCUACAGUUUAGAUAUCAUUAUUAUCCUUUUAUUCUUACAAGUGAAUAAAAUGAUGCACAGAGAGACUGAAUAACUUCCCAGGUCUGGCAGCUAGUCAGUAGAAAAUCCAAUGCAAACGUGAUGGAGGAUAAUGUGAGAAAAAAAUAUAUAUAUAUAUGACUGCAUCACUUUGCUAUACAAUAGAAAUUGACAGAACACUGUAAAUCAACUACAAUGGAAAAAAUAAAAAUCAUACAAAAAAAAGACUUCCUGCACCACUUAUUGAAGGGGCUAUCUUUUUUCCAUCUUACCUCCUUUGUCAUAGAUUAGUUGACUGUAGGUGUAUGGGUUUAAUUCUGGGCUUUCUAUUCUGUUCCACUGAUCUAUAUUUCUGUUUUUGUGCCAGUAUCUAAAUAGAAUUACCAAUUGACCCAGCAAUCCCACUCCGGGGCAUCUAUCCAGGGAAAACUAUGACUGGAAAAGAUACAUGUACUCCAAUGUUCAUUGUAUACUGUACUAUAUACAAUAGCCAACAUAUGGAAAUGACCUAAAUGCCCAUCGACAGGGGAGUAGAUAAAGAAGAUGUGGUACAUAUAUACAAUGGAAUAUUACUCAAGCAUUAAAAGCAAAGAAAUAAUGGCAUUUGCAGUAACAUGGAUGGACCUAGAAAUUAUCAUGCUAAGUGAAGUCAGACAAUGAAACACCAACAUCAAAUGCUAUCACUUACAUGUGGAAUCUAAAAAAAGAUCACAAUGGGAGUUCCUGUCAUGGUACAGUGGAAAUGAAUCUGACUAGGAACCAUGAGGUUGUGGGUUCGAUCCCUCGCCUUGAUCAGUGAGUGGGUUAAGGAUCCAGCAUUGCUGUGAGCCGUGGCGUAGGUGGCAGAUGUGGCUCAGAUCUGGCGUUGCUGUGGCUGUGGCUAGGCCAGCAGCUGUAGCUCUGAUUAGAGCCCUAGCCUAGGAACCUCCAUAUGCCACGGGUGUGGUCCUGAAAAGACAAAAGACAAUAAAUAAAUAAAUAAAUAAAUAAACAAAAUAAGAGAAAAUAAAAUAAAAUAAAAUAAAAAAUAAAAAAGGAACACAAUGAACUUCUUUGCAGAACAGAUACUGACUCACAGACUUUGAAAACUUAUGGUUCCCAAGUGAGACAGGUUGGUAGGUUGGGGGAUGCACUGAGGGUUUGGGAUGGAAAUGCUAUAAAAUUUGGUUGUGAUGAUCAUUGUACAAGUAUAAAUUUAAUAAAAUUCAUUGAGAAAAAAAAAGAAAAAAAGAAAAAGAAAA
rnacentral:lncRNA from 1 species